AACAAACGCUGGCGGCGUGCCUAAUACAUGCAAGUCGAACGGGGAAAGCUUUCGGGUGAGUACUAGUGGCGCACGGGUGAGUAACGCGUGGAUAAUCUGCCUUAGAGUGGGGGAUAACUAGUCGAAAGAUUAGCUAAUACCGCAUAAGACCACAAGAACUGCGGUUCAAGGGGUCAAAGGUUUUUCGUUCUAAGAUGAGUCCGCGUAAGAUUAGCUAGUUGGUAGGGUAACGGCCUACCAAGGCGACGAUCUUUAACUGGUCUGAGAGGAUGAUCAGUCACACUGGAACUGGGACACGGUCCAGAUUCCUACGGGAGGCAGCAGUAGGGAAUAUUGCACAAUGGAGGAAACUCUGAUGCAGCGACGCCGCGUGAGUGAUGAAGGCCUUCGGGUCGUAAAGCUCUGUCGCAGGGGAAUAACACAAUGAGGGUACCCUGUAAGAAAGGAUCGGCUAACUUCGUGCCAGCCGCCGCCGUAACAC
rnacentral:rRNA from 1 species